UGCAACUCUACCUAGAAGAAUCAAAGAUGAGACAAUCAUUGCAAAAUAACGUAAACACGACCAUUGAGCAGCUAAGAGAAGUCAAUACCGAACGUCUUGUGGAGGAAACACAUCCCGAACAUGUAUUCAACGCUCCUCCUCUGAGGCCAUGCCUACCGCUAUCUUCUGCAACAAGUCCACUCAAUAGUCCUAAUAAUCAUUUCAUGCUUGAUAGUUAUCUUAGGACAAGGCAGAAUUCAACAACUUUUCCUACCUUCAACCCAUGGCCUUAAAAUGAAAGCAUAGACACUUAACUAUGACAAGGUUCCCUCUCCCAGCCUGUGCUGACUCAGCCGCCCGCCCUCUCUGCUUCUCCUGGAGCCACAGCCAGACUCACCUGCACCCUGAGCAGUGGAUUCAGUGUUGGCAGCUAUACCAUACACUGGUACCAGCAGAAGCCAGGGAGCCCUCUCCGGUACCUCCUGUACUACUACUCAGACUCAGAUAAACACCAGGGCCCCGGGGUCCCCAGCCGCUUCUCUGGAGCCAAAGACGCCUCCGCCAAUGCAGGCCUCCUGCUCAUCUCUGGGCCGCAGCCUGAGGACGAGGCCGACUACUACUGUCAGAUCAAGCACAGCGGUGCUUCUCCCUGUGACCCACACAGAUGGGGAAGUGGGACAGAAACCUCAGCCUGCUCAGGGACCAAGUCCUCGACCCUCUCCAGUUUCAAAUUACCUCAACACACUCAUUGUACUUAGAGGAGCUUCCAGGCCCCAGUGUCUGUCCUGCCAGUUUUCUCUUCAGUGUGUCUGAACUCUCAGGAAACACAAAAACAACAGUGCCGUGAUGAUACAGAAAUCUUGCCUCGUUCAGUGUUUAAAAAUUCUGAAUAAAAUGAU